rnacentral:rRNA from 1 species
UAGGGAAUAUUGCGCAAUGGGGGAAACCCUGACGCAGCGACGCCGCGUGUGUGAUGAAGGCUUUCGGGUUGUAAAGCACUGUCGUGAGGGAAUAAGUUCUGAAGGUACCUCACAAGAAAGGACCGGCUAACUUCGUGCCAGCAGCCGCGGUAAUACGAGGGGUCCAAGCGUUGUUCGGAAUUACUGGGCGUAAAGCGGGUGUAGGCGGAACCGUAAGUCAGAAGUGAAAGCCCUGGGCUCAACCCAGGAAGUGCUUUUGAUACUGCGGUUCUUGAGUGUGGGAGAGGAUAGUAGAAUUCCUGGUGUAGUGGUGAAAUACGUAGAUAUCAGGAGGAACACCGGUGGCGAAGGCGGCUAUCUGGCCCAACACUGACGCUCAGACCCGAAAGCGUGGGUAGCAAACAGGAUUAGAUACCCCGGUAGUCC